GGAGACGUGGCCGAGUGGUCGAAGGCGCUCCCCUGCUAAGGGAGCGACACAUUCGGGAAAAGGCUCUAUAAUCAGAGCCAUAGAAUCUUUCCGCCUUUCA
rnacentral:tRNA from 1 species